GAUGAACGCUGGCGGCGUGCCUAAUACAUGCAAGUCGAGCGAACGGACGAGAAGCUUGCUUUUCUGAUGUUAGCGGCGGACGGGUGAGUAACACGUGGAUAACCUACCUAUAAGACUGGGAUAACUUCGGGAAACCGGAGCUAAUACCGGAUAAUAUUUUGAACCGCAUGGUUCAAAAGUGAAAGACGGUCUUGCUGGCACGUAUAGAUGGAUCCGCGCUGCAUUAGCUAGUUGGUAAGGUAACGGCUUACCAAGGCAAGGAUGCAUAGCCGACCGGAGAGGCUGGUCGCCCACCCUGGAACUGAGCCACGCUCCAUACUCCUGCGGUAGGCAGCAGUAUGGAAUCUUCCGCAAAGGGCGGAAGCCUUACGGAGCGACGCCGCGUGAGUUAUGAAGGUCUUCCGAUCGUAAAGCUCUGUUAUUAGUGAAGAACAUAUGUGUAAGUAACUGUGCACAUCUUGACGGUACCUAAUCAGAAAGCCCCGGCUAACUACGUG
rnacentral:rRNA from 1 species